UACGUAGGGUGCAAGCGUUGUCCGGAAUUAUUGGGCGUAAAGAGCUCGUAGGCGGUUUUGUCGCGUCUGCUGUGAAAAUCCAGGGCUUAACCCUGGACCUGCAGUGGGUACGGGCAGACUAGAGUGCGGUAGGGGAGAUCGGAAUUCCUGGUGUAGCGGUGAAAUGCGCAGAUAUCAGGAGGAACACCGGUGGCGAAGGCGGGUCUCUGGGCCGUAACUGACGCUGAGGAGCGAAAGCGUGGGGAGCGAACAGG
rnacentral:rRNA from 1 species